rnacentral:lncRNA from 1 species
CUCAUUCUCACUACACCGACCUUACCAGCUGUGCAACAAGGCCUUUGCUCUCUUAGACUAUUUUCUGGCGUGAACUUUCUGGAUCUUGUGAAGGCUCCUUUUGCACUCUCUUUUGGGGACGCCUCUUGCAUCCAUGGUUAAGCCAUAAAAGGCUUAUUGGUUUGAAUCGCUAUUAAAAUUCUACUUGUCAGUGGCCCUUAAAUUAGAAAAACUUCUAAAUUAGAAACAUUUUUAGAGCCGUCUUAUCAUAAACAGCUGUUUUAUUAGUACCUAUGGAAAGACCAAAUUAAAAAGAAAUACAAAGAAAUAACAGCUAGCCUCAAGAACACAAUGGAAUUUGGGGUCUCAGCUUCCCCUCUUGGUCUUAGAGAUGCUAAUGAGAGCAUUAAGAGAGAUUCAUGGAAAGGACUAUGACAAUCUAGAAAAAACAGAUUUCUGAUAAACUUUUAGAUCAUAAAACUGAAUUGGGCAAGAAAUUAUAGAACUCCAACAGUGAAAUUGAUGGCUUCAGAAAACUGCUAACAAAAGAUCAAGGUGAAGAAUCAAUUACCUGGGACUGAAUGAACUGAUCAGGAUGAUUAUAACUUUUGUGACUUUUUGUGUAAAAUAUUGCUGGUUCUUUUAAUAUUUUGUUUUUCCAGAUUUAACAAAACUUUCUUCUCUUUUCUCUUAAGCUAACUGUGACUUAUAGCAAUUUGGUAAAUUAUACUUUUUAAGCAGAAUUGAAACAUUACCUUUUUCUCCCUACCUGAUCCCUCCAGUAUUUGGAAACUCUUAGUGAAUGAGUAGUCUUAUUUUCAUGGCACUAUAGUUGCUUGCAUAAGUUCAGUAAGAAUCUGUUCUCCUUAUAGGAGGACACAAUUGGAAACAUUGGUUAUAUUACCAAGGCUUUGACUGGAAGGUCAUAUUUGAGAGAGACAUGCAUAGAUUCAGAUAUGACCAGACAGCUUGAAGGAACAAAGGUUGACUUUAUGGAAAAAAUAAAGCCACUUGGAAGUAUCAGCCUGGUACCUUGCUUACAGGGUUCCCAGCAAACUUGCCAAGUGAGUAAGGAAGGUCACUUCCUGGCAGGUGCAAGAACCUCAGGAUAUUUUGGGGACCUCAAGAAGAGAGGAAUUCACCAAAAUCUAUAGGUAUUGGUAUUGCAGGCAGAGUCUGAUGACAAGUCCUUGGCUUGGCUUUCCUGCCCAUGAGAGGCCUUUAAAGUUCAAUCUGAGGUUCCUUAUAAAAAAUUCCAGCAAAGCAGAUUUAAAAGAAACUAUAUGAUCAAUUGCUAUUCUUGCUGUACUUAUGAAAAUAAUUGAGCCAAAUUUAUUGAAACUAGACUUAUUUUGCAAGCCAAUUAAUCUUAAUUUGGCUAUAUUUAGUAAAAAUGAGGUUGAUUUUAGAGAGAAAAAUUAAGUUUCAGUAGAAACUAUAAUACAUACUUGUGGAUAUUAGAUUCUAGUUCUGUUAAUUAUCUUUGAGGGGUAUUUAUAUCUGUAAAUUGGACUUGAUCCUGACUUCUUCUAGUUUACUGAACUAUCUAAGGACAAAUCUCCAAAAUAAUGUUUUCCAUUUUUUUCUAUCCUUUGCAUUUGGAAUCAUUGAGAAAUGAAACCAUUCUGUUUCCUGAAGCCCUGCAAAUGGAACUGAACAACUUGAUAUAAACUUAAGAGAGAUCACCACAAUAGCCCAUGUUUGGACAAUCUUCAUGACUGUUGCUGUGUAAGCCACUCAAAAACAUUCACCUGAACACCUGAUGACAUUGUCAGAGACAUUUCAAACUGCAAAAGAUGCUUCACCUUUGACAUUUAGAAAUCUUAUUGACUGACUAUCCACUGGGCUCAGAAACUAGUUUAUAAUUUGUUCCAACCAUUAACCUUGUUUCUGUUUUUGUUUCCAUAGAAAUGCUUCUUAUUAAAUACCAGAUUGCUUGUU